rnacentral:rRNA from 1 species
UACGGAGGAUCCAAGCGUUAUCCGGAAUCAUUGGGUUUAAAGGGUCCGUAGGCGGUUUUGUAAGUCAGUGGUGAAAGCCCAUCGCUCAACGGUGGAACGGCCAUUGAUACUGCAAGACUUGAAUUAUUAGGAAGUAACUAGAAUAUGUAGUGUAGCGGUGAAAUGCUUAGAGAUUACAUGGAAUACCAAUUGCGAAGGCAGGUUACUACUAGUGGAUUGGCGCUGAUGGACGAAAGCGUGGGGAUCAAACAGG